rnacentral:rRNA from 1 species
AGCGAACGCUGGCGGCAGGCCUAACACAUGCAAGUCGAACGAACCCUUCGGGGUUAGUGGCGGACGGGUGAGUAACACGUGGGAACGUGCCUUUAGGUUCGGAAUAACUCAGGGAAACUUGUGCUAAUACCGAAUGUGCCCUUCGGGGGAAAGAUUUAUCGCCUUUAGAGCGGCCCGCGUCUGAUUAGCUAGUUGGUGAGGUAAAGGCUCACCAAGGCUACGAUCAGUAGCUGGUCUGAGAGGAUGACCAGCCACAUUUGGACUGAGACACGGCCCAAACUCCUACGGGAGGCAGCAGUGGGGAAUCUUGCGCAAUGGGCGAAAGCCUGACGCAGCCAUGCCGCGUGAAUGAUGAAGGUCUUAGGAUUGUAAAGUUCUUUCGCCCGUGACGAUGAUGACGGUAACGGGAGAAGAAGCCCCGGCUAACUUCGUGCCAGCAGCCGCAGUAACAC